AACGAACGCUGGCGGCAUGCCUAACACAUGCCAGUCGAAUGAGACCUUCGGGUCUAGUGGCGCACGGGUGCGUAACGCGUGGGAACCUGCCUUUAGGUUCGGAAUAACUCAGAGAAAUUUGAGCUAAUACCGGAUGAUGUCUUCGGACCAAAGAUUUAUCGCCUUUAGAUGGGCCCGCGUUGGAUUAGCUAGUUGGUGGGGUAAAGGCCUACCAAGGCGACGAUCCAUAGCUGGUCUGAGAGGAUGAUCAGCCACACUGGGACUGAGACACGGCCCAGACUCCUACGGGAGGCAGCAGUGGGGAAUAUUGGACAAUGGGCGAAAGCCUGAUCCAGCAAUGCCGCGUGAGUGAUGAAGGCCUUAGGGUUGUAAAGCUCUUUUACCCGAGAUGAUAAUGACAGUAUCGGGAGAAUAAGCGCCGGCUAACUCCGUG
rnacentral:rRNA from 1 species